CGUUGCCAUCCUUCGCGUCCAAUUUAAGGCGGCGAGCUCUGCACCGGUUCCCUGCCCUAGAACUUUUUGUGGGCGACCCGAAGGAAGGACGGGUGGAGAAAUAAAUAGGACUGGGAAGCCUCGCCGUAGAAUCUGAGAGAUAGAGGGGGAGGAUAGAAGGAUCCAAGAUGCCGGACUACGGGGAAAGAUACGAAGGCUACGACGACGGGUACACCGGCUACGGAGGCGCGUCUCCUCCGCCGAGGAGCAGCGGCUUCGACGACUUCGGUGAUUCCAGAUCGCAGAAUGAAUUUCAGGAACCUGAAAGGGCGUCCUCAAAAAGCAGAGAAAGGGAUAGAAAUAGGGAGCAUGACAGGGAUAGGGAUCGAGACAGAGAUAGAGAUAGGGACAAGAAUAGGGGUCGGGAUAGAGAUAGAGAUAGGGAUAAGGAUCGUGAUCACAGAGACCACAGAGACAGAAGUGAUCGUGGCCGGGAUAGAUCCAAUGAUCAUGACCGUCAUCGUAACCGAGACUAUGAUAGCAUACAUUUCAGGCGAAGGGACUAUGAUCGUGAUAGAGAAGGGCAUCACAGACAUCAUUCUCAGUCUCGGUCUCAAUCAAAGGGUAGGUCUGAUCAUAGAUCAAGAUCUCGUUCUCGUUCCCGUUCAGGAUCAAAAAGCAAACGUAUCAGCGGUUUUGACAUGGCUCCACCUGCAUCUGCUCUGAUUCCUGGUGCAACUGCUUCAGGUCCGCUACCUGGAACCACACCAGCCAUUCCAGGAAUGUUUCCAAAUAUGUUUCCUCUGGGAGCUGGACAGUUCCCAACUAUUCCUGUGAUGCCAGUGCAAGCAAUGACUCAGCAGGCUACUCGACAUGCUCGGCGUGUGUAUGUUGGUGGCCUUCCCCCUACUGCAAAUGAACAGUCAGUUGCAACUUUUUUUAGCCAAGUUAUGUCUGCUAUUGGAGGAAACACGGCUGGACCAGGUGAUGCUGUUGUAAAUGUGUAUAUAAACCACGAGAAAAAAUUUGCUUUUGUGGAAAUGAGGUCUGUUGAAGAAGCAAGCAAUGCGAUGGCCUUGGAUGGCAUCAUUUUUGAGGGUGCACCAGUAAAGGUCAGAAGGCCAAGUGACUACAAUCCUUCUCUUGCUGCUGCACUUGGCCCGAGCCAGCCCAACCCCAAUCUCAACCUUGCUGUUGUUGGGCUUACACCGGGUUCCGCUGGUGGUCUUGAGGGUCCUGAUCGCAUUUUUGUGGGUGGGCUUCCAUACUAUUUUACAGAAGCACAAGUAAGGGAAUUGCUCGAGUCCUUUGGACCACUUCGAGGUUUUGAUCUGGUCAAGGACCGGGAAACUGGUAACUCAAAGGGCUAUGCCUUCUGUGUGUACCAAGAUCUCUCUGUUACAGACAUUGCAUGUGCAGCUCUUAAUGGCAUCAAGAUGGGAGAUAAAACCCUGACUGUAAGGCGUGCAAACCAAGGUGCCCAACAACCUAGGCCAGAGCAAGAAAGUGUGUUAUUGCAGGCACAACAACAGGUAGCUUUGCAGAUAGCAACCAGACAGUGUUCAUGUGUUGACAUAGGCUUGUGUACCAGGCAGGAUCCCUUCCCACCAAAAUAGUAUGCUUAACCCAGGUGGUUAGUGCAGAUGAAUUGAAAGACGAUGAGGAAUAUGAAGACAUAAUGGAGGACAUGAGGGGAGAGGGUGGAAAAUAUGGUAAAUUGAUAAAUGUUAUCAUCCCUAGACCUGGUCCAAAUGGUGAACCAGCUCCUGGCGUGGGAAAGGUAUUUUUGGAGUAUGCUGACGUCGAGGGAUCUACUAAAGCUAGGCAAGGGCUGCAUGGAAGGAAAUUUGGGGAAAAUCAGGUUGCUGCAAUUUUCUAUCCGGAGACCAAGUUUGCCCAAGGAGAAUAUGAUGGAUAGUUAACAUCAUUGUUUUCUAAUACCUUUUCUUUUCUUUUUCUCAAAAAAAAAAAAAGGUUUUAGGGCUGUAUCGUAGGCUUUUCUGCAGAACUGAUGCUUUGCUAUUGUGCUUGGACAUUUUAGACAUAUGUUAGGACAUAUGCUGAAGAGUGAGUUAGCUAUGCAAAUUUGACCUCUCUUCUAUGUUAAGAUAGUGUUCAUAUGAUCGCAUAUUGUGGUAGCAACAUGGAGAUUUGGUAAAUUGUCUGUCAUGGCAAUGGUGCAA